CGAGCGCGCGCGUCACACGCACGCCUUCCCCGAAGUGCGCGCGCAUUGCCGUGAUCUGAAAACUGAUUCGUUGCGUACGCGCCGGUUGUGCUGUGUAUGUGUUUGUGAUUUAUGUUCAAGUGCGUGUAGAUAUUUAUUUUUUGGGUGGGGCGCUUAGCUCCGGAUGGUGGAAAAUGCAAACAAAAAACAUUAACCUAAGCCAAGAACAAAGAAACAAAGACAAUAGUGAAACACAGAAAAUGGGCCGUCAGGAUCCUCAGGGGCUGUCAAUUGAAGGGUCAGUGGACGAUCAGGCGACAUACCUGAACCAAGUCACGGCUCCGGCCAUCGGUUCCACGUAUUUCGGUCAGUAUGCAAUAUGAAAAUUAAAUAGCAAAGCACACUUCACACGGCGAGCGGUUCUUUGAAUCGUUUUUAUUAGAAGGAUUGGUUUACAUUAAUUUCUGUUUGAUGGGUGAUGGGAGUGGAGUUUGUUUUGUGUAAUUUGCAUGAUAUAGGUACUGUUAUUUAA